rnacentral:rRNA from 1 species
GAUGAACGCUAGCGGCAGGCUUAACACAUGCAAGUCGAGGGGCAACACGGGUAGCAAUACCUGGUGGCGACCGGCGCAAGGGUGCGUAACGCGUGAGCAACAUGCCCUAUACAGGGGGAUAAUCCAGGGAAACUUGGUCUAAUAUCCCAUAGUAUUUAGAGGUGGCAUCACCACUAAAUUAAAGCUUCGGUGGUAUAGGAUUGGCUCGCGUGACAUUAGCUGGAUGGUGGGGUAACGGCUCACCAUGGCGAUGAUGUCUAGGGGUUCUGAGAGGAAGACCCCCCACACUGGGACUGAGACACGGCCCAGACUCCUACGGGAGGCAGCAGUGAGGAAUAUUGGACAAUGGAUGGAAAUCUGAUCCAGCCAUGCCGCGUGCAGGAAGACGGCCCUAAUGGGUUGUAAACUGCUUUUAAUGGGAGCAGUGCUUUUCUAUGUGAACGCAUGGGGAAGAGAUAUUAGCAUAGAAA